UAGGGAAUAUUGCAAAAUGGGCGAAAGCCCGAUGCAGCAACGCCGCGUGGGCGAUGAAGGCCUUCGGGUCGUAAAGCCCUUUUUGAGGGGAUGAGGAAGGACAGUACCCUCAGAAUAAGCCUCGGCUAACUACGUGCCAGCAGCCGCGGUAAAACGUAGGAGGUGAGCGUUAUCCGGAUUUACUGGGCGUAAAGCGCGUGCAGGCGGAUUGGAGAGUUGGAUGUGAAAGCUCCCGGCUUAACUGGGAGAGGUCGUUCAAUACUUCCAGUCUUGAGUGCAGUAGAGGGAAGUGGAAUUCCGGGUGUAGUGGUGAAAUGCGUAGAUAUCCGGAGGAACACCAGUGGCGAAAGCGGCUUCCUGGACUGUAACUGACGCUCAGACGCGAAAGCUAGGGUAGCAAACG
rnacentral:rRNA from 1 species